rnacentral:pre_miRNA from 2 species
AGUGGAAUUGCUGGGUCAUAUGGUAACUCUAUGAUUAACUUUUUGAGGAACUGGAAAGCUGUUUUCCAUAGUGACUGUACCAAUUUACAUUUCCACCAGCAAU